rnacentral:rRNA from 1 species
CCUACGGGGGGCAGCAGUGGGGAAUAUUGGGCAAUGGGCGCAAGCCUGACCCAGCAACGCCGCGUGAAGGAAGAAGGCUUUCGGGUUUUAAACUUCUUUUCUCAGGGACGAAGCAAGUGACGGUACCUGAGGAAUAAGCCACGCUAACUACGUGCCAGCAGCCGCGGUAAUACGUAGGUGGCAAGCGUUAUCCGGAUUUACUGGGUGUAAAGGGUGUGUAGGCGGGGACGCAAGUCAGAUGUGAAAACCACGGGCUCAACCUGUGGACUGCAUUUGAAACUGUGUUUCGUGAGUACUGGAGAGGCAGACGGAAGUCGUAGGGUAGCGGUGAAAUGCGUAGAUAGUAGGAGGAACACCAGUGGCGAAGGCGGUCUGCUGGACAGCAACUGACGCUGAGGCGCGAAAGCGUGGGGAGCAAACAGGAUUAGAUACCCUGGUAGUC